CGUCAAACUAGUGCUGAGCAGACAGACAGGAGUCAGUUCAUGAUUCAUGAUUCACAGUUCAUUCAGUAUGUCACUCGGGGGUCUGUCCACAGAGGAACUUGUACAAAAGGCUCAGAAAUUUAGAGACAAUGAUGUGGAUGGAGAGACAGUAAACUGCGGACUCACGGAAAAUAUGAUUGCAUAUCUCUUUGACAAGUCUUUCAAAAAGCAGCUAAAAUUCAAAGACUUCACACGCCGCUACAAGGAGGCCACCCUUACUUUGGAAGUAGUCAACCCAUAACAACAAACAUGUGAAGCUCCUGUGUCCCCAGCAAACCAGAGUUUGGAAUCUACUUGCCACAGACUGCCUGCAGUCAUUUCCAUUCCACAAUUCCCACAAGAUGUCCAGAGGCGCUUAGAUGCCAAAGAACCGGUCCACAAGAAAUGUACACACUGAAGCCAUCCCUUUAUUCUUGAAAAUUAAGUACAUUCUG